GACGAACGCUGGCGGCGUGCCUAAUACAUGCAAGUCGAACGCAGUGGGGACGGGUGAGUAACACGUGGGUAACCUCCCAUCAGAGGGGAUACCACUUGGAAACAGGUGCUAAACCGAUCCUGAUGGAUGGACACGCGGUGCAUUAGCUAGUUGGUGAGGUAACGGCUAACCAAGGCCACGAUGCCUAGCCGACCUGAGAGGGUGGUCGGCCACACUGGGAUUGAGACACGGCCCAGACUCCUACGGUAGGCAGGAGUAGGGAAUCUUCGGCAAUGGACGAAAGGCUGAACGCUCAACGCCGCGUGAGUGCAGAAGGUUUGCGGAUCGUAAAACUCUGUUGUUAGAGAAGCGGUAUCUAACCAGAAAGCCACGGCUAACUACGUGCCAGCAGCCGCGGUAAUAC
rnacentral:rRNA from 1 species